rnacentral:rRNA from 1 species
CCCUUAGAUGUCCUGGGCUGCACGCGCGCUACAAUAAUACGCACAGCGAGUAUCACCGAGCUCGAAAGGGCAAGGUAAACAAUAGAAAAGGUACUGUAAUGGUUAUAGAUCCUUGUAAUUAUUGAUCUUCAACGAGGAAUUCCUAGUAAGUAUGUGUCAUCAUCACGCACUGAUUACGUCCCUGCCCUUUGUACACACCGCCCGUCGCUCCUACCGAUUGGGUGAGCCGAUGAAACUCUCGGAUGUAGGCUAUUCAUAGCCCGCAGAAGAGAUUUGAAUCGUAGCGCUUAGAGGAAGGAGAAGUCGUAACA